rnacentral:lncRNA from 1 species
CUUGCUCACAAUUAUUACUCUUUACUUGCUCUUGGUUUAAUGAUGCACAUUUGGAAUUGGGAGUGGGAAAUCACUCCAAAUUAGAAUCACUCGUCUUCAAAGGGGGACUUUGUUCCACAGGCCGAGCCCCACCCCCUGAUUUUAAAAGAGGACUAUUUAUACUUGACAGCUUUUAUGAAAUUUUUGCCUUAGAUUCUCAGAGCAGUCACAUUGUGUUCAUUUCUGGAGAGAUAAAUAAAUUUUUAAAAAGUGCUCAUUCGGCCUGUGGAUAUGGUUUAGCCAAGUGCAAAUAUUGGGACAAUGAAACACCCUUUCGCCCAUGGCAAAACUGAUUUCACGUUGACAACUGAAAUUUCUGAAGGGCCUCUUGCCACAAAGCAGCAGGGGCCAUCUUCAAGACACUGCAGCAGCAACAGCAAUCGGAGCGCAUGAGAGACCGAUAAGCCAUAGCUCAGAGGCCAGGUUGAUGAGGAGUCUGCAUUCUGGCUCCCUUGGCAGGAACGGCAUGCUGGUUCGUGCCUCCCAGAGCCACACCUUCCAUACUUCACUGAGCAACAAGACCUGAGAACCAGCAGUUCCUCAGCGAAUGGACCCCAGCGACCCAGCCACCCUGUCAUCGCCAGAGGCCACCCCUCAGAAGCCUCCACUGUGAGUGAGGAGAGGAAAGGUGUCGGUCCCCUUCCUGAUGCUGGUAACUUUGGUAACAUCAGGACCUUUCUUGGUUUAUCCUUUCAAAUUGAGCACAGAGUCGUUAGCACUGGGGGAAGAGUCAUCAUUUUCAUUCCUGCCGGAGACGGAGUAGGGGUUCGUCAGUCUCCUUGGUUGGAAGAGAACAUUUUUGCUACUGAUACCGGGGUUGGUUUAUUUUGGAAUCCUAGCUUUUCUUUGUUCCAGUCUGUUUCUGUUGCGGCGUUCCAUUCGGUACCAUUUAAGGAGGAAAUUACGGAGGGGAGGAGUUUCAGGUGUCAGCCUGAGGCCCUGGAAGAGUUUCACGCCUCCAAAUCAAAGCCGGCAAUGUGUGCCAAGAAGACAAGAGGAUUCCUGCUGCUCUAGUUAGAGGAGAAAGAGUGCUUUGGGGGGGCCGGCCCCGUGGCCCAGUGGUUAGGUUCGCGCACUCCACUGCGGCGGCCUGGGGUUUUGCAGGUUCGGAUCCUGGGCGCGGACAUGGCGCUGCUCAUCAGGCCAUGCUGAGGCGGCAUCCCACGUGCCACAACUGGAAGGACCUACAACUAGAAUAUAUAACUAUGUACUGGAGGCUUUGGGGAGAAGUAGGAAAGAAAAAGAAGAUUGGCAAUGGAUGUUAGCUCAGGGCCGAUCUUUAAAAAAAAAGAGUGGUUUUGGUUCAUGGAUGGAAGUCCGGCUGCUUUCAUUGCCUUAGUUUGUGACCCGCCUCUUCUUUUAGUUCAUCCAGGUGCGUGUAAUUUAAGGAGAAGGCUCCAAACACCGUAUUUCAUGCCAUACUUUCCAUCCAUCCAAAUUCUGGAUCCAUUCUCUUCCUUCUUAAUAAUAAAAAAUACGUGUGGAGUGAAGUACCA